UUGGUCGGAAGGAUUGGUCAUGUUUGUCAGUGGGAUGUCGUUUUGGUGGUGGGGACGGUGCCACGUCCUUGGAAUAAAGUGCUUCUACUCUUCUCCCACAUCGAUGAAGCAUCCAUUGACGGCGUCGAGGAACAAGUAGCCAGGUCUUCUAGAUGGUCUUCGGAUCUAGCGAGUGUAAGAGUUGUUGGCUGGUGCUCGGUGCCCUCUUCGAAGGUCGCGAGCUCGGCCUGCGUAGUUGUGUUUGGGGUCUUGCAGUAGGAUGCUUGGAUGGCGGCAGACUGCGACGUUUCGCUUCUUCAACCGUGUUGGAUGAAGUUGAUGGCGUCGAGAUUUAAUGAACAUGGGGAUGAACCCCGGCCGACGUGCCACAAAGUCUCGGUCUCGUCGCUUGCGUCGGUCCGGUUCAUCGGCUCGGAAAGCAUGCUUGUAUGCGAAGGUGCUCUCUUAGAUCUUGGUAUGGUGGAUGUUUUCCUUUUUCUCUCGCGUUGCCAUGGUGAUGGUGGUAGAUAAAGGUGGGCAACGAUUCGGCAAGGCUCUCUACUAGUAAAAUUUUAGUUUCACUUGUUGUAGAAUUCUUGGUGCAAAAAUUGUAAAACUUGUGUGUAUGUCUCAUGUGAUAACUGCGUAUGUACUCUAUGUAAUAAGUUUGUCUAACGAAAUAUAUGUGGUUAUUUCAAAAGAAAAAAACGAUGUCUCCG
rnacentral:lncRNA from 1 species